rnacentral:rRNA from 1 species
AGCAGUGGGGAAUAUUGGGCAAUGGGGGAAACCCUGACCCAGCAACGCCGCGUGAAGGAAGAAGGCCUUCGGGUUGUAAACUUCUUUUACCAGGGACGAAGAACGUGACGGUACCUGGAGAAAAAGCAACGGCUAACUACGUGCCAGCAGCCGCGGUAAUACGUAGGUUGCAAGCGUUGUCCGGAUUUACUGGGUGUAAAGGGCGUGUAGGCGGAGAUGCAAGUUGGGAGUGAAAUCCCGGGGCUCAACCCCGGAACUGCUUUCGAAACUGUAUCCCUUGAGUGUCGGAGAGGCAAGCGGAAUUCCUAGUGUAGCGGUGAAAUGCGUAGAUAUUAGGAGGAACACCAGUGGCGAAGGCGGCUUGCUGGACGACAACUGACGCUGAGGCGCGAAAGCGUGGGGAGCAAACAGGAUUAGAUACCCUUGU